rnacentral:piRNA from 1 species
UAAGAAAGCCCUGAAUUUUUAUUCUGGA